rnacentral:tRNA from 1 species
UGGGAUGUAGCUCAGUGGUGGAGCACUUGCCUAGCAAGAGCAAGGGGGCUGGGUUCCAUUCUCAGCACUAAAA